rnacentral:rRNA from 1 species
UAACCUGCCUCAUACAGGGGGAUAACAGUUAGAAAUGACUGCUAAUACCGCAUAAGCGCACAGCAUUGCAUGAUGCCGUGUGAAAAACUCUGGUGGUAUGAGAUGGACCCGCGUCUGAUUAGCUAGUUGGUGAGGUAACGGCCCACCAAGGCGACGAUCAGUAGCCGACCUGAGAGGGUGACCGGCCACAUUGGGACUGAGACACGGCCCAA